GAUGAACGCUGGCGGCGUGCCUAAUACAUGCAAGUCGAGCGAACAGACGAGGAGCUUGCUCCUCUGACGUUAGCGGCGGACGGGUGAGUAACACGUGGAUAACCUACCUAUAAGACUGGGAUAACUUCGGGAAACCGGAGCUAAUACCGGAUAAUAUAUUGAACCGCAUGGUUCAAUAGUGAAAGACGGUUUUGCUGUCACUUAUAGAUGGAUCCGCGCCGCAUUAGCUAGUUGGUAAGGUAACGGCUUACCAAGGCAACGAUGCGUAGCCGACCUGAGAGGGUGAUCGGCCACACUGGAACUGAGACACGGUCCAGACUCCUACGGGAGGCAGCAGUAGGGAAUCUUACGCAAUGGGCGAAAGCUUGACGGAGCAACGCCGCGUGAGUGAUGAAGGUCUUCGGAUCGUAAAACUCUGUUAUUAGGGAAGAACAAAUGUGUAAGUAACUAUGCACGUCUUGACGGUACCUAAUCAGAAAGCCACGGCUAACUCCGUG
rnacentral:rRNA from 1 species